CCCAAGGCUUACGCCAUUGGGCUGUGUUAUAUCAUGCCUUCGGCAUU
rfam:Lentisphaera araneosa HTCC2155 1101329224568, whole genome shotgun sequence.